rnacentral:rRNA from 1 species
CACGACUACGAGUUUGAUCAUGGCUCAGAACGAACGCUGGCGGCAGGCCUAACACAUGCAAGUCGAGCGAGGUAGCAAUACCUAGCGGCGGACGGGUGAGUAACGCGUGGGAACGUACCCUUUGCUACGGAAUAGCCCCGGGAAACUGGGAGUAAUACCGUAUGUGCCCUUCGGGGGAAAGAUUUAUCGGCAAAGGAUCGGCCCGCGUUGGAUUAGGUAGUUGGUGGGGUAAUGGCCUACCAAGCCGACGAUCCAUAGCUGGUUUGAGAGGAUGAUCAGCCACACUGGGACUGAGACACGGCCCAGACUCCUACGGGAGGCAGCAGUGGGGAAUCUUAGACAAUGGGCGCAAGCCUGAUCUAGCCAUGCCGCGUGAGCGAUGAAGGCCUUAGGGUUGUAAAGCUCUUUCAGUGGGGAAGAUAAUGACUGUACCCACAGAAGAAGCCCCGGCUAACUCCGUG